AACGCGAAGAACCCUUACCCAGGCUUGCCAUCCGGGGGACAGGUCAAAAAAUGGAUUUUUCCUUCGGGUCUUCUGAAGAGGUGCUGCAUGGCUGUCGUCAGCUCGUGCCGUGAGGUGUUGGGUUAAGUCCCCCAACGAGCGCAACCCUUAUCGUUAGUUGCCAACAUGUAAUGGUGGGAACUCUAACGAGACUGCCUGGGUUAACCAGGAGGAAGGUGAGGAUGACGUCAAGUCCGCAUGGCCCUUAUGUCUGGGGCUACACACGUGCUACAAUGGUCGGUACAAAAGGCAGCGAAACCGCAAGGUGAAGCAAAUCCCAAAAAACCGAUCCCAUUUCAAAUUGAGUCUGCAACUCCCCUACCUGAAAAUGGAAUUGCUAGUAAUGGCGAUGCCACCACCUCCCCCGGAAAUACUUCCCGGGUCUUGUACACACCG
rnacentral:rRNA from 1 species